UGCCAGCAGCCGCGGUAAUACGGAGGGUGCAAACGUUGUUCGGAAUCACUGGGCAUAAAGCGCACGUAGGCGGCCUCGCCAGUCCGAUGUGAAAGCCCCCGGCUCAACCGGGGAACUGCAUUGGAUACUACGAGGCUCGAGGACGGUUGGGGUGAGUGGAACUCCUGGUGGAGCGGUGAAAUGCGUAGAUAUCAGGAGGAACACCAGUGGCGAAAGCGGCUCACUGGACCGUCUCUGACGCUGAGGUGCGAAAGCGAGGGGAGCGAACGGGAUUAGAUA
rnacentral:rRNA from 1 species